CCUUUUUCACAGCAGACAUUUUGACUUGUCUUAGUAGGAAAAGCACAGGUGAAACUGAUAACAUUAAGAAUGGCUGAGUUCAAUUUAGUGUCCCAGUAAGCUAGUAGCAGUUAGCCAACAUGGACAAUACCAGGGUCUCCCCUAAGCAAAUCCGUCAGUAGUGUAACACACCUGUGCUGCUCCUACUCUGAGGUGUCAAAAUGUCUGCCGUGAAACCCAACGUCACUCAGAACACAAUUAACGUCACCAGCAACGUAAAUGACGAGGCGAAUAUCAGAAUAAGGUGAUGACUUCUACACCACUUUCCCCAUGCUUGAGAAUGGUGGACAUGGAUGGAUUCUGCCUGAUGACUGCAACCCUAAAGCAGACAUGCAACCUGGAUGACCAAAACGUUCAUGGAGGACAGGCCUUGGCAACAAGUGGAAAUUUCAGGGCGCUGAUUUCACACCACUCUGGCAUGUUAUUGGCUCAUUCAAGACCCCAGCCCUGAUAUUGGACCAAAGAGAGACAUUUCUACUUAGUGGACCCGUGGAGAUGACCUAUUUACCCGCCUCUCAUACUCCAGUUUGAGAGACAAAAUGAAUGCUGAGGCUAAGGGCAAACAUCAUUACCUGGCUUUUCAUGAUGGCAGCUGACGGAGACUUGAUGCAGGGCACUUGAUUUGGGUGCAGCUGCCUCGAGG